UUGGAGGGCAAGUCUGGUGCCAGCAGCCGCGGUAAUUCCAGCUCCAAUAGCGUAUAUUAAAGUUGUUGAGGUUAAAAAAGCUCGUAGUUGAACCUUGGGCCUAGCCGGCCGGUCCGCCUCACCGCGUGCACUGGCUCGGCUGGGUCUUUCCUUCUGGAGAACCGCAUGCCCUUCACUGGGUGUGCCGGGGAACCAGGACUUUUACUCUGAACAAAUUAGAUCGCUUAAAGAAGGCCUAUGCUCGAAUACAUUAGCAUGGAAUAAUAGAAUAGG
rnacentral:rRNA from 1 species